GAUGAACGCUGGCGGCGUGCUUAACACAUGCAAGUCGAGCGAGUGAGUUCUUCGGAACGAUCUAGCGGCGGACGGGUGAGUAACACGUGGGCAACCUGCCUCAUAGAGGGGAAUAGCCUCCCGAAAGGGAGAUUAAUACCGCAUAAAAUUAUCGAGUGGCAUCACACGAUAAUCAAAGGAGUAAUCCGCUAUGAGAUGGGCCCGCGGCGCAUUAGCUAGUUGGUGAGGUAACGGCUCACCAAGGCGACGAUGCGUAGCCGACCUGAGAGGGUGAUCGGCCACAUUGGGACUGAUACACGGCCCAGACUCCUACGGGAGGCAGCAGUGGGGAAUAUUGCACAAUGGGGGAAACCCUGAUGCAGCAACGCCGCGUGAGUGAUGAAGGUCUUCGGAUUGUAAAGCUCUGUCUUUGGGGACGAUAAUGACGGUACCCAAGGAGGAAGCCACGGCUAACUACGUGCCAGCAGCCGCCGUAA
rnacentral:rRNA from 1 species